AGAGUUUGAUCCUGGCUCAGGAUGAACGCUGACAGAAUGCUUAACACAUGCAAGUCUUUGGCAAAUCUGUGCUUGCACAGCCUAGCCAAGGCGGACGGGUGAGUAACGCGUAAAGAACUUGCCCUGCAGACAGGGAUAACAGACGGAAACGACUGAUAAUACCUGAUACAAUUGCCAGCACGCAUGUGCCCGGCAAUGAAAAGUGAUGCUGCAGGAGAGCUUUGCGUCCUAUUAGCUUGUUGGUGAGGUAACGGCUCACCAAGGCGAUGAUAGGUAGCCGGCCUGAGAGGGUGAACGGCCACAAGGGGACUGAGAUACGGCCCUUACUCCUACGGGAGGCAGCAGUGGGGAAUAUUGGACAAUGGGGGCAACCCUGAUCCAGCAAUUCUGUGUGCACGAAGAAGGUUUUCGGAUUGUAAAGUGCUUUCAGCAGGGAAGAAGAAAGUGACGGUACCUGCAGAAGAAGCGACGGCUAAAUACGUGCCAGCAGCCGCGGUAAUACGUAUGUCGCAAGCGUUAUCCGGAAUUAUUGGGCAUAAAGGGCAUCUAGGCGGCCAGACAAGUCUGGGGUGAAAACUUGCGGCUCAACCGCAAGCCUGCCCUGGAAACUGUUUGGCUAGAGUGCUGGAGAGGUGGACGGAACUGCACGAGUAGAGGUGAAAUUCGUAGAUAUGUGCAGGAAUGCCGAUGAUGAAGAUAGUUCACUGGACGGUAACUGACGCUGAAGUGCGAAAGCUAGGGGAGCAAACAGGAUUAGAUACCCUGGUAGUCCUAGCUGUAAACGAUGAUUACUGGGUGUGGGCAUGAAGAGUGUCCGUGCCGAAGCAAAUGCGAUAAGUAAUCCGCCUGGGGAGUACGGCCGCAAGGCUGAAACUCAAAGGAAUUGACGGGGACCCGCACAAGCGGUGGAGCAUGUGGUUUAAUUCGA
rnacentral:rRNA from 1 species